rnacentral:rRNA from 1 species
UGGGGAAUUUUGGACAAUGGGCGCAAGCCUGAUCCAGCCAUGCCGCGUGAGUGAAGAAGGCCUGGUUGUAAGCUCUUUCGGCCGGGGAAGGAAAUACGUGUUCUCUAACAUAGGACAUGGAUGACGGUACCGG